rnacentral:lncRNA from 10 species
UGAAGACAGUUCUGGGCAAAAUGGGAUGAGUUGGUCACCUGACUACUACAGUUCCAGUGGCUGUUAUGGAGCAGAAACUUGAUAAAUGUGUAUGGUAGUUUAGAAAAAAAAAUGGCCACAAGUGUGUUGACACUGUCCCAUCAAGAGGUGGCGUUGAUGUUCUCACUCCUUGACUCUAGACAGACUUGUAACUACUUUGACCAAUAGAGUAUGAUGGAAGUGACACUAUGUGAGUGCUAAGACUAAGUCACAAAAGACCAUGCAGUGUUUACUUGCUUCUCUUGGAAUGCUCAGUCUUGUAACACUUGUGAACUCCAGUCAUCAUGCUGUGAGAAGUGCAAGCCACAUGGAGAGACCACAUAUGAGUGCUUCAGUUGACAGCACUGGUGGAGCCCAGUCUUCAAGUCAUCUCAGCCCAAGUACCAGGCAUGGGACUGAAGAGGCCUGCAGAUGUGUCAGCCCCCAGUUGUUGUAGUCUCCCCUGCUGAGACUCCAGACACUGUGGAACAGAGAAAAGCCAUUCCUGCUAUAUUCUGCUUUAAGUCCUGACCCACAGCAUCUGUGAGCUAAUAAAAUGAUUGUUGUGUUAGGCCACUAAGUUUGUGGUGCUUCAUUAUACUGCAAUAGAUAAGUGGAACAACGUGGACAGGAUGUGUACUUCUUGUCUAGGAGGUUGAGCUUCAUUCUCAGUUACAAAACCUAUAUGGGUGCCUGAAAGUCAUUUGAGUUCCAGCCCGCUGCUCUCCCUACCCAUUGAAGCUCAUGCUUGCUGUUAGCUGUGCAGAAACACUAACCAUGGGUAUCAAAGUGACACUGGCCCUAAUUGGUUGGAUGAUCUGAGAGACCUGAGGAGGGUUUCUGCCUAGUGUGGAAAUCUCCUCCCACAGACACUCAGGUUUGUCAAAAACACCUUGAAGAAUGUGCUCUCAAUUCUGGAUGCUGCUGGAAUACCGAAGAAUUCUUCCCAUGUGCAUCUAUGUUCAUUUAAAAAUAACUUUUAAAAUAUUAUUUAUUUAUUAUUUUUAAAAAUUUUUGAGAAAAGGUCUCAUUCUUUCACCCAGGUGGGAAUGCACUGACAUAAUUAUGGCUUACUGCAGCCUCGACCUCCUGGGCUCAAGUGAUCCUCCCACCUCAGCCUCCUGGGUAGCCACCAUGCCUGACUAAUUUUUUUGUACUUUUUUUUUGUAGAGAUGGGGUUUUGCCAUGUUGGCCAGGCUGGAAAAAUAUCUUUUAAAAGUGGUAAUGCAUAUUCAUUAUAUCAUGAACUGAAAAUACAGACAUACUCAAAGAAGAAAGCAAAAAACAUCUAUAAUGCCAUCCAAUGACACAUGCUGUUAACAACUUUCAAACUUCCUUUAUUGAGUGUAAAUCAUAUGACUCAUUUGUAUAUAAUAUAAUGU